rnacentral:rRNA from 1 species
UACGUAGGGGGGCAAGCGUUGUCCGGAUUUAUUGGGCGUAAAGAGCGUGUAGGCGGCUAAUUAAGUCAAAUGUGAAAAUCCCCCGAGCUUAACUUGGGAAUUGCAUUCGAUACUGGUUAGCUAGAGUGUGGGAGAGGAUGGUAGAAUUCCAGGUGUAGCGGUGAAAAUGCGUAGAGAUCUGGAGGAAUACCGAUGGCGAAGGCAGCCAUCUGGCCUAACACUGACGCUGAGGUGCGAAAGCAUGGGUAGCAAACAGG